rnacentral:rRNA from 1 species
GACGAACGCUGGCGGCGUGCCUAAUACAUGCAAGUAGAACGCUGAAGAGAGGAGCUUGCUCUUCUUGGAUGAGUUGCGAACGGGUGAGUAACGCGUAGGUAACCUGCCUUGUAGCGGGGGAUAACUAUUGGAAACGAUAGCUAAUACCGCAUAACAAUGGAUGACACAUGUCAUUUAUUUGAAAGGGGCAAUUGCUCCACUACAAGAUGGACCUGCGUUGUAUUAGCUAGUAGGUGAGGUAACGGCUCACCUAGGCGACGAUACAUAGCCGACCUGAGAGGGUGAUCGGCCACACUGGGACUGAGACACGGCCCAGACUCCUACGGGAGGCAGCAGUAGGGAAUCUUCGGCAAUGGGGCAACCCUGACCGAGCAACGCCGCGUGAGUGAAGAAGGUUUUCGGAUCGUAAAGCUCUGUUGUAAGUCAAGAACGAGUGUGAGAGUGGAAAGUUCACACUGUGACGGUAGCUUACCAGAAAGGGACGGCUAACUACGUGCCAGCAGCCGCGGUAAUACGUAGGUCCCGAGCGUUGUCCGGAUUUAUUGGGCGUAAAGCGAGCGCAGGCGGUUUGAUAAGUCUGAAGUUAAGGCUGUGGCUCAACCAUAGUUCGCUUUGGAAACUGUCAAACUUGAGUGCAGAAGGGGAGAGUGGAAUUCCAUGUGUAGCGGUGAAAUGCGUAGAUAUAUGGAGGAACACCGGUGGCGAAAGCGGCUCUCUGGUCUGUAACUGACGCUGAGGCUCGAAAGCGUGGGGAGCGAACAGGAUUAGAUACCCUGGUAGUCCACGCCGUAAACGAUGAGUGCUAGGUGUUGGAUCCUUUCCGGGAUUCAGUGCCGCAGCUAACGCAUUAAGCACUCCGCCUGGGGAGUACGACCGCAAGGUUGAAACUCAAAGGAAUUGACGGGGGCCCGCACAAGCGGUGGAGCAUGUGGUUUAAUUCGAAGCAACGCGAAGAACCUUACCAGGUCUUGACAUCCCGAUGCUAUUUCUAGAGAUAGAAAGUUACUUCGGUACAUCGGUGACAGGUGGUGCAUGGUUGUCGUCAGCUCGUGUCGUGAGAUGUUGGGUUAAGUCCCGCAACGAGCGCAACCCCUAUUGUUAGUUGCCAUCAUUCAGUUGGGCACUCUAGCGAGACUGCCGGUAAUAAACCGGAGGAAGGUGGGGAUGACGUCAAAUCAUCAUGCCCCUUAUGACCUGGGCUACACACGUGCUACAAUGGUUGGUACAACGAGUUGCGAGUCGGUGACGGCAAGCUAAUCUCUUAAAGCCAAUCUCAGUUCGGAUUGUAGGCUGCAACUCGCCUACAUGAAGUCGGAAUCGCUAGUAAUCGCGGAUCAGCACGCCGCGGUGAAUACGUUCCCGGGCCU